CGGGGUGUAGCGCAGUUGGUUAGCGCACACGUCUGGGGGGCGUGAUGCCGCAAGUUCGAAUCUUGUCACUCCGACCA
rnacentral:tRNA from 1 species